UGUCUUGUAAUUGGAAUGAUGGUGACUUAAACCCUCACCAGAGUACCAAUUGGAGGGCAAGUCUGGUGCCAGCAGCCGCGGUAAUUCCAGCUCCAAUAGCGUAUAUUAAACUUGUUGCAGUUAAAAAGCUCGUAGUUGAAUUUCAGCGUUUCGCGUGUGCCUCUUUUGGCCCAUCUCGUCUCGCUUUUUUUAUUACUUUGAGAAAAUUAGAGUGUUUCAAGCAGGCUUUUGUCUUGAAUACUUGAGCAUGGAAUAAUAGAGUAGGACCUUGGUUCUAUUUUGUUGGUUUUGUUACCUUGGUAAUGGUUAAUAGGAACGGUUGGGGGCAUUCGUAUUUAACUGUCAGAGGUGAAAUUCUUAGAUUUGUUAAAGACGAACUACUGCGAAAGCAUUUGCCAAGGACGUUUCCAUUAAUCAAGAACGAAAGUUAGGGGAUCGAAGACGAUCAGAUACCGUCGUAGUCCUAACCAUAAACUA
rnacentral:rRNA from 1 species